CCCGAUCGACACCGUUAUGGAAACACUAAGGGUCAGUCGGCUGGAUCGUGACAGUGCUGCAUGGCUGUCGUCAGCUCGUGUCGUGAGAUGUUGGGUUAAGUCCCGCAACGAGCGCAACCCUUGUCCUUAGUUGCCAGCAUUCAGUUGGGCACUCUAAGGAGACUGCCGGUGUCAAACCGGAGGAAGGUGGGGAUGACGUCAAGUCCUCAUGGCCCUUAUGUCCAGGGCUACACACGUGCUACAAUGGCCGGUACAAAGGGGCGCAAGACCGCGAGGUGGAGCAAAUCCCAAAAAACCGGUCUCAGUUCGGAUUGGAGUCUGCAACUCGACUCCAUGAAGUUGGAAUCGCUAGUAAUCGCGUAUCAGCAUGACGCGGUGAAUACGUUCCCGGGCCUU
rnacentral:rRNA from 1 species